AGCUAGAAGUUAUGGGAUAGGACUUCAGUUCUAUUUUGUUGGUUUUCAGAACUCAGGUCAUGAUUCAGAGGGACAGAUGGGGGCAUUAUUAUUGCUACACUAGACUUGAAGUUCUUGGAUUGGCACAAGACAGACCCUAGCAAAAGCAUUGGCAAAGAAUGUUUUCAUU
rnacentral:ncRNA from 1 species